GUCGAUCAAUCAAGCGAUCAGAGGACAAAGGAUUCAUCAAGCUGCCAAUCAAUCGAUUUAUCGAUCAAUAAAGCAAACACAAAACUAAAGCUACUAUUUUUCUGCCACACUCGAUCAAUCAGUGAAUCGAUAUAACGACAAAGUGCCAAAAUGUUUGAUGUAUUUGGCUCCGUAAAGGGGCUACUGAAAAUCGAUCAGGUUUGCAUCGAUAACAAUGUCUUUCGCAUGCAUUACAAGGCGACGGUGAUCAUAUUGAUUGCCUUCUCGCUGCUCGUUACAUCUCGCCAAUAUAUCGGCGAUCCCAUCGAUUGCAUUGUCGAUGAGAUACCGCUCGGUGUGAUGGACACCUAUUGCUGGAUCUACUCAACGUUCACGGUGCCCGAGCGUCUGACAGGUGUCGUUGGCCAUGAUGUUGCCUCGCCCGGCGUCGGUUCCCAUGUCGAUGGCGAGGACAAAGUCAGAUAUCACAAAUACUAUCAGUGGGUCUGCUUUGUGCUCUUCUUCCAAGCCAUCUUGUUCUAUGUGCCGCGCUAUCUCUGGAAAUCGUGGGAGGGCGGCCGACUGAAGAUGCUGGUGAUGGACCUCAAUAGCCCCAUUGUGAAUGAUCGGUGUAAAAACGAUCGCAAGAAGAUAUUGGUCGACUACUUCAUUGGCAAUCUGAAUCGUCACAAUUUCUAUGCCUUUCGGUUUUUCGUCUGCGAAGCCCUCAAUUUCGUCAACGUCAUUGCGCAGAUCUAUUUCGUGGACUUCUUCCUGGAUGGCGAGUUCAGUACGUAUGGCAGCGAUGUGUUGAAGUUUACGGAAAUGGAACCCGAUGAUCGUAUCGAUCCGAUGGCGAAGGUCUUUCCAAAGGUCACCAAAUGUACAUUCCACAAAUAUGGUCCAUCCGGUGGAGUUCAGAAGUUCGAUGGACUCUGUGUGCUGCCAUUGAACAUUGUGAAUGAGAAGAUCUAUGUGUUCCUCUGGUUCUGGUUCAUCAUUUUGAGCAUCCUGUCGGGCAUCUCGUUGGUCUAUCGCAUUGCCGUUGUUAUGGGACCGAAAUUGAGGCAUCUGCUGUUGCGCGCACGCUCCCGCUUGGCCGAGAGCGAAGAGGUGGAGAAGGUGGCCAACAGGUGCAACAUUGGCGAUUGGUUCUUGCUCUACCAACUGGGCAAGAAUAUCGAUCCAUUGAUCUACAAGGAGGUGAUCGCUGAUCUCUAUCGUGAAAUGGGCGGCGAUGGCCAAAGUCCACAAAAGCAGCCUUUCGAGGCUUAAGCGAGAGCUUAUGAUCGAUGGAGAUGGAGUCAGAGAGCGAAACAGAAAGAGAGAGAGAGAGAGAAGGAAAGCGAGCGAGAGAAAGAGAAGAGGAGGAGAGAGAGCGAGCGAGAGAGAAGAGUCGAAUUUGGAACUAGGAGUCGGCGGAGCUGGGAGUCGGAAGUUGAAGCUGGAGUCAGUGUCGGCAUCUGGGCCACCCUGUGCUAUCAGUGGCAGCGUGUCAGCGAUUUUGCACGCAGCCAAAGUGAAGUAUGAACAAU